GUGCCAGCAGCCGCGGUAAUACGGAGGGUGCAAGCGUUGUCCGGAUUUAUUGGGUUUAAAGGGUGCGUAGGCGGCUCUUUAAGUCAGUGGUGAAAGCCCGCAGCUUAACUGCGGAACUGCCAUUGAUACUGGAGAGCUUGAGUACGGUUGAAGUAGGCGGAAUUUAUGGUGUAGCGGUGAAAUGCAUAGAUACCAUAAAGAACACCGAUAGCGUAGGCAGCUUACUAAGCCGUAACUGACGCUGAGGCACGAAAGCAUGGGGAGCGAACAGGAUUAGAUACCCUGGUAGUCCAUGCCGUAAACGAUGAUCACUCGCUGUUAGCGAUAUACUGUUAGCGGCCAAGCGAAAGCGUUAAGUGAUCCACCUGGGGAGUACGUCCGCAAGGAUGAAACUCAAAGGAAUUGACGG
rnacentral:rRNA from 1 species